GCUGGGCAGGGUGGCGCACUCCUGUAAUCCUAGCAGCUUAGGAGGCUGAGGCAGGAGGAUUGCUAGUUCAAAGCCAGCCUCACACACUUAGCAAGGCCCUAAGCAACUCAGCAAGACCCUUUCUCUA
rnacentral:sRNA from 1 species